rnacentral:sRNA from 1 species
GCCAGGCAUGGUGGCACAUGCCUGUAAUCCCAACAGCUUAGAAGGCUAAGGCAGGAGGAUCAUAAGUUCAAAGUCAGCCUCAACAAAAAGCAAGGUGCUAAGCAACUCAGUGAGAUCCUGUCUCUA